UCUCUACGCAGAGCUCGUCACUGUGGGCAGACCCACCUCCUGCCGUCAUCGACGCCGGACCUCACCAGUUUAGCCCACUUCAUGGCAUGGGCGAGUGGGCAUCUCAUCUGCAAUCUAGGAAACGCACGAAUUGGAAGCAUCUCAAGACCCACAGUGAAGGCAACCCAGGUCCGUUGAUCGCGUGAGAGAUAAGUCCCUUCCAAUCCAGCUGGGUUGCAUCUACUGCCUGGUAACCCCCCUUGCAUUACAAAUUCACAAAUGCCGACACAAAUGCAACCCACCAUUCCAAAAAUCUGCGAACACUGCACCUCAAGAAGUCGAUCCUACCAUAAACACCCACGGGGUAUUUCUAUCGUCACCACGGCUCCAAGAACACGGUCCUUCCAAGUAUGUGAAUCUAACUCAUCUCAAAUAUUUUAGCUGUUAUUUAUGCAAUGCACAAAUAUGAGUUGGCGUGACUCCAGUUGGGAGAUGAAUUUCACCUAAAAGUUAUUAUUGUAGUGGUUACUGACCGAGAUAAAUGUGUAUCCAUAUUAUUAGAGCUGUUUCGAUGAGUACGAUAGUGCUAAGUUUCAUGUUAUUUUAAUUUUCAUUUGUAAUGGUCAGCUGUUUAGAUGAGUAUUAGAGCUGUUUACCCA